rnacentral:rRNA from 1 species
AUGAAAGUCAAAUUUAUUCCACUCUCAUUUAAGAGCGUGAAUACAAGGAGGUAUUUUGUGUCUGGGAAUGUCCAAAGAAAAAAUAUUUUGAAUCUUCUUUUCCUUCUUUCCCUUAAAAAACGACUCAAUAAAAAUCCAAUUAUUGACUCUACAAGAAAGAAUGAAAUGCUUGUUAUGCCUAAUAUACUUAGUUUAACAUGUAUAUGCUAUUUUCAAUCGUGUCAUGGAUAUUAUAUGUCUGUUAUACCUCUAUUCUUUUUUCUAUUAGCCAUUGUUUGGCAAGCUGUUGUAAGUUUUUGA